rnacentral:rRNA from 1 species
GACGAACGCUGGCGGCGUGCUUAACACAUGCAAGUCGAACGAGUGGCGAACGGGUGAGUAAUACGUGGGUAACCUGCCCUCUUUUUGGGAUAAGCUUUGGAAACGGGGUCUAAUACCGCAUCAAGGGGGAUUGGCUCGCGGCCUAUCAGCUUGUUGGUGGGGUGAUGGCCUACCAAGGCGGUGACUGGUAGCCGGCCUGAGAGGGUUGCUGGCCAAAUUGGGACUGGAGUACGGCCCAGACUCCUACGGGAGGCAGCAGUGGGGGAUAUUGCACAAUGGGCGAAAGGCUGAUGCAGCGACGCCGCGUGGGGGAUGAAGGGUUUCGGGUUGUAAAGCUUGUUAAUCAGGAAGACGGUACCGAAAUAGAAAACCACGGCUAACUACGUGCCAGCCGCCGCGGUAAUAC